rnacentral:lncRNA from 1 species
UGACAUUCCCUCCCAACAUGCUCAAAGCAGAAGCCCUGAUCCUUACGGUGGGGAAACAUCUACCGAGGUGCAAGCAGCCAGGGUAGACACCAGCAGGUCCAGGCUCUGCGCCACAGUGUGUCCUCACAGGAGAGGAGAGCAGGUCCUGGGAGAAGUGGCCCAAGUGGGCGAAGUAGCCUGAAGAUGCAGAGAAGCCACACUGGGAUUGAGUAUUUGUGCAGCACUCAGCCAGCAGGAAGAGCUAGCGCCUGCCUGUGUCCUUGUACUAUGCAGGGUGAUGUGACCUCUGUCUAUGCAGAGGUGGCUGACAGUCCUGAAGCACGUGUGUCCAGUUGUGAAAGCUCAGAGUUUUCUUCCUCCUCUUUUUAUUUCCUUGUGUACCCUGGCAGGUCUUGAACUUUUGAACUUUCAGCACUUUCUCUCUCUGCCUCCCAGACACUUAGAUGCAGGUGUGUCACAGCAGCCUGCUGCUGCUGCCGCUGCUGCUACUCCUGCUGCCACUGCUGCCUCGUUGUUGUUGUUCUUCUUCUUCCUCUUAUUACAUGUAUGUAUUUGUGUGUGUACACAUGUGAGAAUAUGCAAGCCACGAUAAAUGUUCGAGUCAGGACAA